UGUAGUUUGUCUUUUACUGAACUUUUUUGAACUGGUGAAGGAUUUAAAAGAAGAAUGUAAAACUUUGUUAACUCAAUCUUCUCCGUUUCUUCAUGGCAACUUUUGCACUGAUUGGAUGCUUUUAUUAAACCAACUUGACCAUUUUUUAACGCAUGAUCGUCUUAAAGUUUCUGGCAAACUCGUAAACCUUCGCGGUUGCUCUUCACGCCUCCCAAACUUUUUAUUGGAAGAUUCUUUAAAACUAAAAGAAGUUAUUUUAAUAUCUAAUAAACGUUCGCAGAACAGUUUCAGUGAGCUGUCACUUGACUUAUUUUAUAUGCUUCAAGUGCUCGAGCAAACGUCGUCAGCAGAUCUUUUCAUUAAUGAACAAGAAAAAAUUACUAAAAACUUUCAAAGCAACCCUCAUAAGUAUAUGCUUUAUCCGUCCAGACUUUGCAACCCUUUUCUUGUUUAUCUCUGCAGCAUUAAAGGAACUUAAUGAUAACACUUCUGCUGUACUUUUGUAUUUUUCGACUGAAGUAUUAACUUUGGACGGU